rnacentral:rRNA from 1 species
GGUUGAUCCUGCCAGUAGUCAUAUGCUUGUCUUAAAGAUUAAGCCAUGCAUGUCCAAGUAUAACCCCUUUGGGGAAAACUGCGGAUGGCUCAUUAAAUCGGUUGGAAUCUACAUGAACACCCCCAGUACGUGGAUAACCACGGAAAAUCUGCGGCUAAUACAUGCUUCCUUGUGUGGUCUCUGAUCAUACUGCAUACAUUAGUUCCAAAAUCAACUUUAUUUCGGUGAUUCAUGAUGUCUAGGCGAAUCGUAUGACCUUGUGUCGACGAUGAUUCAUUCGACUUUCCGCCCU